GCCCCAGUGGCGCAAUCGGUUAGCGCACGGUACUUAUAAUGCCGGGUUGCGAGUUCGAGCCUCGCCUGGGGCA
rnacentral:tRNA from 1 species